rnacentral:rRNA from 1 species
AUUGAACGCUGGCGGCAGGCCUAACACAUGCAAGUCGAACGGUAACAGGAAGCAACUUGCUGCUUUGCUGACGAGUGGCGGACGGGUGAGUAAUGUCUGGGAAACUGCCCGAUGGAGGGGGAUAACUACUGGAAACGGUAGCUAAUACCGCAUAACGUCGCAAGACCAAAGAGGGGGACCUUAGGGCCUCUUGCCAUCGGAUGUGCCCAGAUGGGAUUAGCUAGUAGGUGGGGUAACGGCUCACCUAGGCGACGAUCCCUAGCUGGUCUGAGAGGAUGACCAGCCACACUGGAACUGAGACACGGUCCAGACUCCUACGGGAGGCAGCAGUGGGGAAUAUUGCACAAUGGGCGCAAGCCUGAUGCAGCCAUGCCGGGUGUAUGAAGAAGGCCUUCGGGUUGUAAAGUACUUUCAGCGGGGAGGAAGGGAGUAAAGUUAAUACCUUUGCUCAUUGACGUUACCCGCAGAAGAAGCACCGGCUAACUCCGUG